UUAUGACCUUUGCCACUGGAUACCAGU
rnacentral:piRNA from 1 species